AUUGAACGCUGGCGGCAUGCCUUACACAUGCAAGUCGAACGGCAGGCACGGGAGCAAUCCUGGUGGCGAGUGGCGAACGGGUGAGUAAUAUAUCGGAACGUGCCCGGUCGUGGGGGAUAACGUAGCGAAAGCUACGCUAAUACCGCAUACGAUCUACGGAUGAAAGCGGGGGAUCGCAAGACCUCGCGCGAUUGGAGCGGCCGAUAUCAGAUUAGGUAGUUGGUGAGGUAAAGGCUCACCAAGCCGACGAUCUGUAGCUGGUCUGAGAGGACGACCAGCCACACUGGGACUGAGACACGGCCCAGACUCCACGGGAGGCAGCAGUGGGGAAUUUUGGACAAUGGGCGCAAGCCUGAUCCAGCAAUGCCGCGUGCAGGAUGAAGG
rnacentral:rRNA from 1 species